AUGGUCCUUUAUGAACGAUUAAAGACAGCAAGUCUCUUCGAAAUAGUUAUCUCCUGGCUACACCUGAGCGACUACAACGCAAUAGCAAAUCGAGGCGUCCUAUCACUUGAUUAUCCAUCGGCGUCCGCAUAAAAUUCCUCGCCCUUCCACGAUCCGGUCGACAAACACAAAGUAUCGUGCAAUCCAAAAUGCACCAAUAUCCAAGCUUCUACAGCACGGAGAGAGAUUUUGUAUCAAGGAGAAAAGGGCAGCAAGUUGGGAUUCAAUAGCCAUCAGGCACCCCGGUAACAAACAAUGUACCCAUAUCCGCAUAGACAACUAAGCGAAUACAACGAUCUUUCUUUGGAUUCAGUAAUGGAGGGGGAUAGCGCGAACGCAGUCCCCCACUACCAAAAAUUGCAUGCCCCAUCUGCCCCAGUUUGGGGUAGUGGCAGGGGUCAGCACGAGCGCAGUGCAAUGCCCGCGCCUCUCCCUGGGGACACCGCCUAGCUGAUCACGGUAAUCCCGGCACCAGGUAAGUAUGCUUUGAGACGGUCUCGAACGGCCUCCAGACUCCGCGGAGAUCGCCAUCUUGCUCCGGUUCGGGACGAGUCGUUAAACCAAAAUUACGCCGUUCACUUGUCCGGUUUGGUCACUAAGUUGGCAAAAUUAAGGAGACUCAAUGUCUCUGCCUCGUUCCUUUUAUUACAAUCUGUCUAAAUGUCCAGAUAAAAGUCAGUAAGCCUCAUUCAGUUGCUCAAAACACAACAUUUGCGAUGUCGGCAAACCAGUCAAGCUUCGCGUCCUCGACUGGUGGCGGAGCCGCUUACCCCGCACCCAAACCGUGCUCACAUCUGUCUACAUGGGACUCAUAUACGACACUCGUGGAUGCACGGAUAUCGCACUCCGUCAUGGACAGACGCAUGGCUGUGUCUGGCUGUGUCGACAUGUUUAACGUUUUUUUUCUAGCGACAGCCUAACAUAUAAUGAACUAGUAUUCCAGUUCACUAUAGCCUAACGAAAUUGGACGAACACCCCACUCUCCCACAACAACGUCUCGUUGCAACAGCGCCACCGCCGUGAACUGCACGGCUUCUCAUCGGAAAUCACACUCUGCUAAGUAGCGUACAACUCCUCGAGGCGGCCAGGGAACAGCAAGUUCCAAGGAAUUCAAAGGUCAUCGAAUGUCGAAGUGUAUCUGACAACACACAGAAAAAAAAAAAAGGAAGCAGGCACAGGAAGAGCACACAUGAAUCCUACACUGCAUGCCGGCGCUUGUCCAUGGUGUGAUAUGCAUGGCCGUCACUACCACAUGUGACGUGGGAAUGCACAAAUAGACCACAGGAAGCAAACUCGCGUCACAUACUUACCAACAGUAGGGAGCCAUGGCAGAUCCUCCUCGCCCAGCCAGAGCUGGAGGCCCAAAGGGGCCUCUUGGACCAGGCGCAGAGGGUAGGUAGCAAGGAUCACUGGUGUCCUGGACUAAGGACCCACCCACCAGCUCCCUUUCACCCAACCCCUUUCACCCAACCUCCCUCGAUAAAUAAUAAAGUUUUUCCAUCCAUCCCUAGUAUACCGGGCGUCUUUUUUUUUUUAA